UGAUAAUUCAACAGGAAGGAGAUUACUGACCCUUCAUAGACUGGCAGCUCUUUAAAUUAAGAUGGCUCCUAAGAGAAAAGAUCAAUUCCUCGGCCUCCUGUGACCAAAGUCAACAAAAUGAAAUACCGGAGCAUAAUUUAUACCAGUCAUGUUUGACUUAUCACACUUGCGUGUCAAGUUACUCAGAGGUGUCCAGAACGACUCUGUCCCUGAAUCUGCCAACAUGACAAUGCUCUUCAAUAAUAAAAAAGACGUGUUCCAGGCUUUUGCGACGAUGACACCUGCAUGACUGACAGCCUAUUCCUGCACACCAGUUCCUCAGCUCUAGUUACACAGCAAUCUGUCAGCCACUUAGACGACAUGAGCUCUUUAAGCCAUUAAAGAGUUAACAUGUUAUUUUUUUAAUCAUGCCAUAAUUCUUGGGGUGGCAAAAUUGCUUUGCACAAUAAAUAACACUACUUAAAGGUUAAUUACUUGAUU
ensembl:lncRNA